rnacentral:rRNA from 1 species
AAUGGGUGAGUAACACGUGGGCAACCUGCCCAUAAGAGGGGGAUAACACUUGAAAACAGGUGCUAAUACCGCAUAACCAUAGUUACCGCAUGGUAACUAUGUAAAAGGUGGCUAUGCUACCGCUUUUGGAUGGGCCCGCGGCGCAUUAGCUAGUUGGUGGGGUAAAGGCUUACCAAGACAAUGAUGCGUAGCCGAACUGAGAGGUUGAUCGGCCACAUUGGGACUGAGACACGGCCCAAACUCCUACGGGAGGCAGCAGUAGGGAAUCUUCCACAAUGGGCGAAAGCCUGAUGGAGCAACGCCGCGUGGGUGAAGAAGGUCUUCGGAUCGUAAAACCCUGUUGUUAGAGAAGAAAGUGCGUGAGAGUAACUGUUCACGUUUCGACGGUAUCUAACCAGAAAGCCACGGCUAACUACGUGCCAGCAGCCGCGGUAAUACGUAGGUGGCAAGCGUUAUCCGGAUUUAUUGGGCGUAAAGGGAACGCAGGCGGUCUUUUAAGUCUGAUGUGAAAGCCUUCGGCUUAACCGGAGUAGUGCAUUGGAAACUGGGAGACUUGAGUGCAGAAGAGGAGAGUGGAACUCCAUGUGUAGCGGUGAAAUGCGUAGAUAUAUGGAAGAAC